rnacentral:rRNA from 1 species
UACGGAGGGGGCUAGCGUUGUUCGGAAUUAUUGGGCGUAAAGAGCUCGUAGGCGGUCUGUCACGUCGGCUGUGAAAUCCCGAGGCUCAACCUCGGGUCUGCAGUCGAUACGGGCAAACUAGAGUAUUGCAGGGGAGACUGGAAUUCCUGGUGUAGCGGUGAAAUGCGCAGAUAUCAGGAGGAACACCGGUGGCGAAGGCGGGUCUCUGGGCCGAUACUGACGCUGAGGAGCGAAAGCAUGGGUAGCGAACAGG